CCCCCCACUGAACCAGACCAGUAUUAUUCGCUGCUGCAGUCCAGUGGUGACUGUUGUGGAAUAUUAUUUUUACUACGAAAAGAU
ensembl:snoRNA